rnacentral:rRNA from 1 species
GACGAACGCUGGCGGCGUACUUAACACAUGCAAGUCGAACGGAAAGGCCCUGCUUUUGUGGGGUGCUCGAGUGGCGAACGGGUGAGUAACACGUGAGUAACCUGCCCUUGACUUUGGGAUAACUUCAGGAAACUGGGGCUAAUACCGGAUAGGAGCUCCUGCUGCAUGGUGGGGGUUGGAAAGUUUCGGCGGUUGGGGAUGGACUCGCGGCUUAUCAGCUUGUUGGUGGGGUAGUGGCUUACCAAGGCUUUGACGGGUAGCCGGCCUGAGAGGGUGACCGGCCACAUUGGGACUGAGAUACGGCCCAGACUCCUACGGGAGGCAGCAGUGGGGAAUAUUGCACAAUGGGCGGAAGCCUGAUGCAGCAACGCCGCGUGCGGGAUGACGGCCUUCGGGUUGUAAAACGCUUUCGCCUGUGACGAAGCGUGAGUGACGGUAAUGGGUAAAGAAGCACCGGCUAACUACGUG